rnacentral:lncRNA from 1 species
UUUCUUUAGCAGCAGGACAUUCAAGCUACGGCGGGGCAAUAAUAAGACCCAAGAUUGCAAUAGAUGGUCUUGGGGCAUUCAACCUUCAGGUGAAGCAAAGUUAUAGAUCAUGAAUGGUGGGAGUGAUCAAGAUUUUAGAUGCGUACGAAUAAUAUAUAGGUUUUAGUAUUGGGAGUGAUGGAUGAAAGGACAAGUUCCUACUUUCAUAUGUUGAAUAUUAUGUUGCAUCAUUUGUAUCAUGAAUGUUGGGAGUGAACGAUGGAUUGAUGUCAUUAAUAAUAUAUGUAUAUAUAUUUGCAGCAAUUUAUUUUUUUUUGAAAAUUCCAUUGCAUUAAAGAAUCAACAUCGCUGCAAUAACCACAGAAUCAACGUUUCUAAUUCGGUGUGAAUUCAGUAUUGCAACG